AGCAGACUCUACAGAUCAUAGUGGGGCUCCCAGGGUGACUGAAGGGGAAUGAGGUAGAGGGAGAGUUUCCCUCUUCAGCUGGACUUUUUGCUGCCUCAAAAAUUCAGUUGAUUGGGUUAGCUUUACAUAUGAUCUAAUCAGUCCAAUGCAGUCACAUUUGAUCUAAUCAUCUCCCCCACUUUCAAGCUAGGAAAGGAUAUUUUAUUUGGUGUUUAUUUUUUCUCUGCAUUAUUAUCUUAUCACAUAUGCCUACAUCUAAUAUAAUGAACUAUAAUUUGAUAUUUGUCAUUUCCAAGCAUUUGAGAAAUUAUAACAUCUGUGUGUACAAUUUUAACACUACAUAUAAUUUUCUUCAUGUGCAAAAUAUAUAUACACAUGUCAAUAUGUGGUCUGUCUAAUUCUGCAUCUUGAAAUCUGGGCAGGGUCUUAAAUACUUCUAGGUGGGUAUUGGAGCACAAAUCAGAUAAGCAUAAGUUCCUUGCAUUCCUGUUCCUGUGCCCCCAGCUUUGAAUUCCUGCUUAUUAACACGAUGAUGGGGCUCUGCAAGUCUCCCCUUAUCUGUAUCUAGGUCCCCAGGGCAUUCACUGAUGGAAAAAUUUCUUACUGAGGUCAUGAUGAGUGGCAGGAGGGAGCAGUCUCUUCAGCCAAUAGGACUGACCCAUGUCCAGCUUAAGGGCUUAGAAAAGCAGGUUCACAAGAACAACCUGCACCUGAUUCUGGGCAUGUGAGAGAGAGCAAGCACCUUUCACUGGAGCUUCACCAUAGGAUGGGGAACUGAAGACCAGACUCCCACUGCCCCUCCAUCCAAUGCCCCAUUGACCCACCUUUUUUCCAACAGGUCUCCUUUACAGAAAGGGGCUUGGAUAAGGAGGAAAGACCAUCAGAAGAAAAGAUAAGACACUCUCUUCUCAUUCCAGUAAGAGCCACAUGCAAGGCAAGAAUCAGAGUCCAGCUCAGAUGGGGGAACUCUAGGAAGAGAGAAAUCCAUUCCAUGGACAGCUGCCAAGAUAGAGCAGGACAGCAUCAAGGACAUGAGCCAAAAGUGCAAAAGGACUGCUUGACUUUGGAAAAGAAACCAAAGGCCUCUGACACUGUACACAUCAGUGAAAUGAGGAGACCCAUGAUGCCUGCUGUGGGGGACCCCCAGAGGCCCACACCGGGCACAGCGAGCGGCCCAGAUCUCAGUCUCUAGGAGACCACCCACUACCACUUCAGAAAAGCCUGGUGACCUCUCUGCACACUCCAUCUGAAGCCAUUUAUCACAACACAGCCCAGGUGUGGGAACAGUAGGCCUAUUCUCUGCUGACCUGGGAGCAGCUGUCUGAGCUCACCUGGCUCCAGGGGCCUCUGUGCUGUGGUACAAACCUGUGCCAUGGCCACCCAGGUGGCCUAUGUCUUUCGCACUGAGGGCUGGCUCAUCCCAGCCAUACUCCCUGGUCCCUAGGGUGGAGAAGCUCAGAACUCCUCCUAGGAAGAAAAUGGAUCCACCCUUUCCCUGGAGAGGAGAUAAAGGAGCCUGUUGGUGGAUCAAAUGAGGCUUUAGCUGGGGUCGCCCAGGCCCUAUUCAACAGAGGACACAGCUGUGUGAGUGAGAACAAAGACCUGCUACUUCUCAGGCAAUUUUAGACACACUGUGUUAAUACAUGACACAACUGGGGGCACUCUUGGGAAAGGAGUUUGAACAAUAUCCUCAAAGUGGAAACUGUGUUUCGUUUAGGUCUAAAACCACUGACAAAUUUUGUAUUUCAUGUUAGACAUUUGAUGUUUUUGGAUGUUUUAUGACAGUCACGCAUUUCUUUGUAAUCAGAAAAUAUUAGGGUAUAAUCAUUCAUAUGUGUUUGUGUAUUGAAAAGUACAGCAAAAUGAAGAUAUAUGUAGAUCCUCCCCCUAUAAGUCAAAAAGACUGUAGCUCUUUUCUCUCCCACCCUGAGUCAAUAAAGGACUGAUAUCUACUAACCUUUAAUAGCAUUCUCUAUGGAGAAAUGUUGGUAUUUUUUCAAUUUGAGGAAAUGAUAAAAUCACCAUGCUAUUGUUUCAUUUUCUUUGUUCUAAAACUUUCAGAAUGUAUUAAGUGCUUGUUGAUCAUAUUUUUAUUUAUUCUUCAACCUGGAUUAUAUUUUUUGCCUAAUUUUAAUCUUCCAUUUUACAGAUUUCAAUUGAGCUUAUUUUUUAAAACAGGUUGAUUAAAGUAUAAUUAACUUUCAGUAA